rnacentral:misc_RNA from 1 species
AACCUUAUGGACCUGCGGGCGUAUACCUGCGGAGGGAUCAUUACAGAGUUAUCUAACUCCCAAACCCAUGUGAACUUACCUUUGUUGCCUCGGCAGUAGUUGCUGGGCGAGCCUACCCGGGAACGAGCUACCCUGUAGCGAGUUACCCUGGAACGACUUACCCUGUAACGCCUGCCGGUGGACUACUAAACUCUUGUUAUUUUUAAAGUAAUCUGAGCGUCUUAUUUUAAUAAGUCAAAA